UACGAAGGGUGCAAACGUUGCUCGGAAUUAUUGGGCGUAAAGCGCACGUAGGCGGCUUGGCAAGUCGGAUGUGAAAUCCCUCGGCUCAACCAAGGAAGUGCAUCCGAAACUGCUGAGCUUGAGUACUUAAGAGGAUCGCGGAAUUCCCGGUGUAGAGGUGAAAUUCGUAGAUAUCGGGAGGAACACCAGUGGCGAAGGCGGCGAUCUGGGAAGAUACUGACGCUGAGGUGCGAAAAGCGUGGGGAGCAACAGG
rnacentral:rRNA from 1 species